rnacentral:rRNA from 1 species
UACAGAGGAUGCAAGCGUUAUCCGGAAUGAUUGGGCGUAAAGCGUCUGUAGGUGGCUUUUUAAGUCCGCCGUCAAAUCCCAGGGCUCAACUCUGGACAGGCGGUGGAAACUACCAGGCUGGAGUACGGUAGGGGCAGAGGGAAUUUCCGGUGGAGCGGUGAAAUGCGUAGAGAUCGGAAAGAACACCAACGGCGAAAGCACUCUGCUGGGCCGACACUGACACUGAUAGCGCGAAAGCCAGGGGAGCAAACGGG